rnacentral:rRNA from 1 species
UGGCAAGCGUUGUCCGGAUUUAUUGGGCGUAAAGCGCGCGCAGGUGGUUUCUUAAGUCUGAUGUGAAAGCCCACGGCUCAACCGUGGAGGGUCAUUGGAAACUGGGGAACUUGAGUGCAGAAGAGGAUAGUGGAAUUCCAAGUGUAGCGGUGAAAUGCGUAGAGAUUUGGAGGAACACCAGUGGCGAAGGCGACUGUCUGGUCUGUAACUGACACUGAGGCGCGAAAGCGUGGGGAGCAAACA